GUAUAGGGAACUUUCAGGAUAGCAUUUGAAAUGUAUAUAAAGAAAAUAUCUAAUAAUUAAAAAAAAGAAAUAGGUUAAAAAAUGUAUGACAGAAGAGAUCUUUGCUGGUUCUUGAGUUUAAAGCCAAAGCAAACAUUGUAUUAGACAUUGACACAAAGAUACAGUUAUGAUCGUGUUUGUUUAUGGGGUACUCAAUGAGGCCCUAAGUAUACAAUGUAGAGUAAUCGAAUCAAGCAAGUUAAUAUACCCAUUACCCCAAUACUUAUCUUGUAUUCCUCAUAUUGAACUGAAACAUUGUACCAUUCGGCCAACAUCUUUCAUUGCCUUUCUUAACUCUGCAGUCUCAGGAAACCACUGGCCCUCCUGUGCAUGCAGAUGAUGUAGAAUGCACCUCUAACUGUCACAUUUGUCUUUUCUUUGUGCAGCUUGUUGUACAUAAUGGCCUCUUCAGUCAUCCAUAUUACCACAUAUAACAUAAUUACCCUCAUCUCUAGGACCGCACAGUACGAUUCUCUUUAUCUACACCACAUUUUAAAUUGACAUUAGUGGUGAUUUCUCAUUUUGGGUUUUGUGAUCUGUGUUGCAUUAAUAUAGAAGUGCAGAUAUAUCUUUGAAAAAUUAAUUUCAGAGCUUCAAGUUAAUUUGGAUUGGUCCAAGCUGCUGUCUUUAGUAUUUUCCAAUAACCUUCAUGAUGCUGGACUACGCAAAUAGCACCCAAUGAAAGAGUAUUAGUUAUUAGCAGUAACGGCAACAGUGUUAGGUCCCAACAUUUCAACACCUGUUUUACAUCAGACAAUAUGAUUUAUAAUAGCUCUAAUAUAUGCAACAUCUCCAUUUGCAGGUGAAAUCUUGAAACUCAGAUGUAAAAUUAACAGACAAGCUUAAUUAGUGGAAGGACCAAAUGUUGAAUGUUUGCUUUAUAACAAUAUGCUAAUUCAAUUACAGAGAAAUGAGCUUCCUCUGCGGUAAUUUAUUUCCCAGUCCUCAGCGAAUUCAGGUCUCUUACUCCAUAUGAUAAUAUGAUGUUGAAGGGCUUUGGUGGCAAUUAUCUAAGCAGGACUACACCAAAGAAGGGAGUCAGUUGAAUGCUUUAUCAGAUUUUUUCAAGUGGAUAUUUCUAGGCAGUGCCUCUCCUGGGUGCUUAUAGAUGGGAUGCGACUGUGCUCCGGUUUGAUGCCUUAGCUGAAUAGCAUUGUGCAAAGAGUCACAGCUCAAUCACCAUUUAAGCCUUCAAUUAUGCAUUUCUACAAAGAGCCCUAAAAGUUUAACAUGAGUAACGUCUAUUUUCUCCUGAACAAUAUUACCAAAGAAGCAUUUGGUAGAGAAAUUUCUGUGGUCGACUUGCUUGGUUCUAGGAUAGAUGCUAGGUUUAGGAUUUUGGUAAGUUGAUUCCCAAAGGGAAAUAGGAAUCAUUACUUCCCCCUCCCCUCACCUCACAGCACCCCUUUCUAUGAUGUAGGCUUUGGAAACCGUCACUCAAAAGUCCUUAGAACCCUGACUUGCCUCAUCAAGUCGUACUGGUUUAAGCCAAUUUCUACUUUGUUUAUGCCUGAAGUCAGGUUAAAAAAAAUGGUUUAAAAGAAAAUGUGUAAGAUAUCAGCAAGGCCAAGCUGUUUUUUGUGACUGAAGAGAGAAGAGAUACAGUAAAAGCAUUAUUUAGGAAACGAUCUAAUUAUUAUAGAAAGUUAUCCUCUAGAUUUCGGAACAACUCUUGAAAAUGUGUUCUUUAGAGUAAAUUUGCGAAGUGGGAGAAACAAAACAAAACCCAGCCUCCUAAAAGGAUUGCACCAUUUAUAUCUCUCUGCAUAGAACACAAAGGGUCCAACAAAUCAAAAUGCUGGAGUUUGCCAAUGUAAGUAAUGGCUGCCGUGAGCCUCCCAGUUUUGGGUAGGGGAAGCAGCCAGAUGGCCACAGGAAGGCUUUCUGAAUCGCAGGUGCCAAGUCUCUAUGGGCAGUUACAUUCUCAUGCCUGCUUUUGGAGCCAGGUUCUUGGCUAUUAUCUGCUAGGCUCCAUUCCAUUGGCCUCCUGAUGGAGAGGCUCAGCAUUCAUGGAGGCUAUGCAUGCAAGAGGAAAUCUCUAGGCUUCAUUUCCAAGAGUAUCAUCCUGACAAAUCGAGGCAGGGAGAGGGGGAAAUUCCUUACUAGCAUCCAAGGUUUGAAAGAGUUGCUAGUCUUUCUCUCAGGAAGAGGUUGUGAGAUCAGAAUGAACAACUCCAUCCUUCUUAGCACUUAACAGACAGGAAGGCUCUGUUGACUUUCUUUCGUAUUUUCACCUCUAUCCAUUCUUACUGACCUAGCAUCCUAAUGAGGCUUGUUUGUGCCCAGUCAAGUAGGCACCAGUUCCUUAGACUGUCAUUUUGUAUAGGUAGGUCUAUCUAUAGGAAGAUCAUUUCUUUACGCAGGUCUGUACAUUGUCUGUUGCAAGACAUAGGAGGUGAGGAGUGGUCAAUGUGUUGCUAAGCAUCUCUACAUGUUCCCCUCUUGACAAACAACCAUUCUGGAGUAAUCUCAAUUGGUGCAUUUUGCUUCUCCAUUUUUCUCAGUGAAGUAAAAACUUGCAAAGAAGUUCAAUUAUGCGAAACAAUUAAAAUUCAGAUUGCAAGAGAGAAGACAUCAGAUUUGCCUCAAACAGGUGCCAGCACAGAUGGCCUGCUCGCAAGUCCUGGCUUUAUUUACAGCUUUUAAACACAGACAGAUACAUUGACAAAAAUGUUUCUGGAUCUUAUAGUGUGCUGAAUGCCCAAAUUUGGCCAUACAUUUAUAUUCAUUUGUAAAUGGUUCAAGUUAAAGCUUGACCUCUCUAGUCACCAGUAGCCUUGUAAAAAGACCAUUUGCCUGUCCUGUCUUUCACACACAAUGUGAAUAGAUUAAUGUUUGUGUUUGGUGGAAUAUGGUAAAUGUAUUACCCUGAUAAUAUGACUACUUUUAUUAUUAAAGAAAAAAAUCCCUCAAGUCUAAAUUACAUAUUGCCUCAUGGUUCUGCAUUUCCAAAAUCACUAACAUUCUUUAGAGGAUCAGGAUACUGCCCAAUUUUUAGCAGCCUUAGAGCAUGGUUCUUUGAGAGACUAGCCAAACAAGUGUUAAGAGGUUCUUAGAGCAAAUGACAUUCUCCCAGGAAGAAGCCAGUUGGGCUAGCCACGUGAUAAAAUCUACCUAGAGAAACUUGAGUGAACAUUCAGCCCAUAUCAUUAUCUCUGAUGUUCCAGAUUUGGAACGGAUCCACCAAGGGUUAAACUUCUAGUAAGAUAGGUGCUGGAAGACUUUGGAAAAGGAAGACCAAAAUUGCAUCUCAAGUGGGUUUGUAUUAAAGCACUAAUUUAUCCAUGUCUCAGUGUCAUGUUACUGCAGGGGUAGAAAG
rnacentral:lncRNA from 1 species